rnacentral:SRP_RNA from 2 species
GCCGGGCAUGGUGGUGUGUGCCUGUAGUCCCAACUACUCGGGAGGCUGAGACAGGAGAAUUGCUUGAACCCAGGAGGUUGAGGAUGCAGUGAGCCGAGAUCGCGCCAUUGCACUCCAGCCUGGGUGAUAGAGCGAGAUUCUGUCUCAA